GUGCUGAUUGGCAGCACAUGUACUAAAACUGGAACAAUACAAAGAUUAGCAUGGCCCCUGCCCAAGGAUGACAUGCAAAUUCGUGAAGCGUUCCAUAUUUAA